GAUGAACGCUAGCGGCAGGCCUAACACAUGCAAGUCGAGGGGCAGCAUAAAAUAAACUUGUUUAUUUGGUGGCGACCGGCGCACGGGUGCGUAACGCGUAUGCAACCUACCUUAUACUGGGGAAUAGCCCGAAGAAAUUCGGAUUAAUGCCCCAUAGUACUGAGACCUCUCCUGAGGAUUCAGUUAAAGCUUUGGCGGUAUAAGAUGGGCAUGCGUCCAAUUAGCUAGAUGGUGAGGUAACGGCUCACCAUGGCGACGAUUGGUAGGGGGCCUGAGAGGGUGGUCCCCCACACUGGUACUGGGACACGGACCAGACUCCUACGGGAGGCAGCAGUGAGGAAUAUUGGUCAAUGGGCGCAAGCCUGAACCAGCCAUGCCGCGUGAAGGAUGAAGGUUCUAUGGAUUGUAAACUUCUUUUAUUUGGGAAUAAACCUCUUUACGUGUAGAGAGCUGAAGGUACCAAAUGAAUAAGCACCGGCUAACUCCGUGCCAGCCGCCGCGGUAAUAC
rnacentral:rRNA from 1 species